UACAGAGGGUGCGAGCGUUAAUCGGAAUUACUGGGCGUAAAGCGCACGUAGGCGGCUUGGUAUGUCGGGUGUGAAAUCCCCGGGCUCAACCUGGGAACUGCAUCCGAAACUGCCUUGCUAGAGUAUGGGAGAGGGAAGUGGAAUUUCCGGUGUAGCAGUGAAAUGCGUAGAUAUCGGAAGGAACACCAGUGGCGAAGGUGACUUCCUGGACCAAUACUGAAGCUCAGGUGUGAAAGCGUGGGGAGCAAACAGG
rnacentral:rRNA from 1 species